AGAAUAUGUAAUAAUAGCACAUGUAAAGGACUUCUCACCAAGGUAAAACUGAUAAGAAGAGGACCACCGAGGAAUACACGUGCGUGCAAGCAUGUACAAAUAUUGUGUACUCCUGGCCGUAAUAGGCAUUUUGGAGACUUUCACAGCAGUUGCUGGUACGAUAUGUACGUCUGACGAACAAUGCAAACAUUCAUAUCACGUGGGAAGCAACCAGGAGGCUUAUUGUCAUUUCACUGUUCUUCAAAUCGGCUGCUGCCAAAUCAGAAGAAAGACUGCUCACUGGACACAGUGGAGUACUUGGGGUCCUUGUAGUGUGAAUUGUGGAGCAGGGGGCUCCAGGACCUCUACCAGAAGAUGUAAAGGGACAGGGUCAUGUCAGGGCUCUUCUUCAAGGACAGAGACAUGCAGCCCAAAGCAACAAU